rnacentral:rRNA from 1 species
UACAGAGGGUGCAAGCGUUGUUCGGAAUUAUUGGGCGUAAAGGGCGCGUAGGCGGUGCUGUAAGUCUGUAGUGAAAUCUCUGGGCUCAACUCAGAGUCUGCUAUAGAAACUGCAGUGCUAGAGUGUGGGAGAGGUGAGUGGAAUUCCCGGUGUAGCGGUGAAAUGCGUAGAUAUCUGGAGGAACACCGGUGGCGAAGGCGGCAUCCUGGACCAUUACUGACGCUGAGGAGCGAAAGCCAGGGGAGCAAACGGG